GACCAACGCUGGCGGCGUGCGUAACACAUGCAAGUCGGACGCGCGGGGGGCAACCUCUGGCGCGUGGCGGACGGGUGAGGAACACGUGAGGAACCUGGCCUUGAGUGGGGGAUAACUCUCAGAAAUGAGGGCUAAUCCCGCAUACGGCCGUCCGGGGAGGGCCGGACGGAGAAAGCCUGCGAGGGCGCUCAAGGAGGGGCUUGCGGCCGAUUAGCUAGUUGGUGUGGUAAGAGCGCACCAAGGCGACGAUCGGUAGCUGGUCUGAGAGGA
rnacentral:rRNA from 1 species